GGAUAACUUACCCUUUAGGACUGGGAUAACUCUGGGAAACUGGGGAUAAUACCGGAUAUUAGGCUAUGUCUGCAAUGGUUUGCCUUUGAAAUGUUUUUUUUCGCCUAAGGAUAGAUCUGCGGCUGAUUAGGUCGUUGGUGGGGUAAUGGCCCACCAAGCCGAUGAUCGGUACGGGUUGUGAGAGCAAGGGCCCGGAGAUGGAACCUGAGACAAGGUUCCAGACCCUACGGGGUGCAGCAGGCGCGAAACCUCCGCAAUGUACGAAAGUGCGACGGGGGGAUCCCAAGUGUUAUGCUUAAAGGUAUGACUUUUCAUUAGUGUAAAAAGCUUUUAGAAUAAGAGCUGGGCAAGACCGGUGCCAGCCGCCGCGGUAACACCGGCAGCUCGAGUGGUAGCUGUUUUUAUUGGGCCUAAAGCGUUCGUAGCCGGUUUAAUAAGUCUUUGGUGAAAGCUUGUAGCUUAACUAUAAGAAUUGCUGGAGAUACUAUUGGACUUGAAGUCGGGAGAGGUUAGAGGUACUACCGGGGUAGGGGUGAAAUCCUAUAAUCCUGGGAGGACCACCUGUGGCGAAGGCGUCUAACUGGAACGAUCUUGACGGUGAGUAACGAAAGCCAGGGGCGCGAACCGGAUUAGAUACCCGGGUAGUCCUGGCCGUAAACGAUGUGGACUUGGUGUUGGAAUGGCUUUGAGUUGUUCCGGUGCCGAAGGGAAGCUGUUAAGUCCACCGCCUGGGAAGUACGGUCGCAAGAUUGAAACUUA
rnacentral:rRNA from 1 species